CACGUGGGUGAUCAGGUGAUCACUACACCUUAAUUGGAUGUCUGAUGUCUUAAUGUCUGCACCCAACAAUCACUGUUCAGUCUUCACUUCGUUCUAGAAUAAUCUGGAAAUGAUCACUGUCUUCGAUAGGUAAAAAUGUCAUCUAUUUUCCAAAAAAGAAAGGAUUAAAAAGACAAAUAGCAGAGGAAAGAUGAGUUACUCGGUAAAAUACAAAAGCUAUCCGUGUUAUUUUACUAAAGCUGAUGGAGUGGAUAAAAACACAGCUUCAUCAUCGUCAUCAUCAUCGUCAUCAUCAUCAUCAUCAUCAUCAUCAUCACCAUCACUACCACUGAUUUUAGUAAGAAGCCCAAUCAUGUUCCAGAAUGCAAACGCCCCUGUGCACAAAGUAAGGUCCAUGAAGAGGUUGGAGUGGAAGAACUCAAGAAGCCUGCACAGAGCUCUAACGUCAACCUCUUCACCCAGCUUUAGUGCCUGACAUCACUAAUGCUCUUGCGGAUGGAUAAGCACAAAUCCCCACAGCUAUCAAAAAUCUUUUGGAAAGAGAGAGUCUAGAGUCUCUAGGAAAGUGGAGGUAAUUCUAAUAGCUAAGGGAGGACCAAGAUUGUAGUGGGAUGUUUAAAAAACCCAUAUAAUGAUAAAGGGUAUACCCUUCGGACGUCAUUAUACAUUUGGCCAUGUACAGCAGUGUAUAUACAGCAAGCAAAGCACAACAUGUUCUGCCAAACAAUCCAUAAACAGUUAUCAGAAUAUAAUAAAGACCAUCAGAAUA